rnacentral:rRNA from 1 species
AGAGUUUGAUCAUGGCUCAGGACGAACGCUGGCGGCGUGCUUAACACAUGCAAGUCGAACGGAAAGGCCCUUCGGGGUACUCGAGUGGCGAACGGGUGAGUAACACGUGGGUGAUCUGCCCUGCACUUUGGGAUAAGCCUGGGAAACUGGGUCUAAUACCGAAUAGGACCACGCGCUUCAUGGUGUGUGGUGGAAAGCUUUUGCGGUGUGGGAUGGGCCCGCGGCCUAUCAGCUUGUUGGUGGGGUAAUGGCCUACCAAGGCGACGACGGGUAGCCGGCCUGAGAGGGUGACCGGCCACACUGGGACUGAGAUACGGCCCAGACUCCUACGGGAGGCAGCAGUGGGGAAUAUUGCACAAUGGGCGCAAGCCUGAUGCAGCGACGCCGCGUGGGGGAUGACGGCCUUCGGGUUGUAAACCUCUUUCACCAUCGACGAAGGUCCGGGUUUUCUCGGGCUGACGGUAGGUGGAGAAGAAGCACCGGCCAACUACGUGCCAGCAGCCGCGGUAAUACGUAGGGUGCGAGCGUUGUCCGGAAUUACUGGGCGUAAAGAGCUCGUAGGUGGUUUGUCGCGUUGUUCGUGAAAACUCACAGCUUAACUGUGGGCGUGCGGGCGAUACGGGCAGACUAGAGUACUGCAGGGGAGACUGGAAUUCCUGGUGUAGCGGUGGAAUGCGCAGAUAUCAGGAGGAACACCGGUGGCGAAGGCGGGUCUCUGGGCAGUAACUGACGCUGAGGAGCGAAAGCGUGGGGAGCGAACAGGAUUAGAUACCCUGGUAGUCCAA